UACGAAGGGGGCUAGCGUUGUUCGGAAUUACUGGGCGUAAAGCGCACGUAGGCGGAUUGUUAAGUUAGGGGUGAAAUCCCGGGGCUCAACCCCGGAACUGCCUUUAAUACUGGCAAUCUCGAGUCCGAGAGAGGUGAGUGGAAUUCCGAGUGUAGAGGUGAAAUUCGUAGAUAUUCGGAGGAACACCAGUGGCGAAGGCGGCUCACUGGCUCGGUACUGACGCUGAGGUGGCGAAAGCGUGGGGAGCAAACAGG
rnacentral:rRNA from 1 species